CGAUGUAGUAAGAUAUUAAAGAGCUCAAAGAGACUGUUAAAGCUUCCAUUGGGUCAUUGCUGGGUCUGCCUCCAAGUUGCCCACAGUUGCCAUGUAAAAACCUCAAGGAUCUGGCCGAGUUGGUAACUGUCCUCCAAGAUGAAAGCCUCUUUCAGGAAAUAUGCAACUUUCUGAGCUGCAUGGGAGGCAGGUCAGUGAAGGGCACAGCUCGGCGGGUCCUCAGUAAGCUGGUCUCCACCCAUCUGUCUCUAAAUUAUAACUGGAAGGGGACAAGAGGAGUGAAGCUGAGGUUUUCAACUUUCACACUUAUAAGCAAGUUGAUUUUUGCUCCUCCAAUUUGCUUGAUGUGGUUCUUCUUUUGACAAAAUCCUGACGUCUGGCUUAACUGUGGCCCGAACAAAACGGCUCGUAAAAUCAGAGUGGCGUCUGACUUGUUAAGCGGAAACUCCAAUUUUUAAGACUCGAC